rnacentral:tRNA from 1 species
UCCCUGGUGGCUCAGAUGGUAAAGAAUCUGCCUGCAGUGCAGAAGACCCAGGUUUGAUCCCUGGAUCGGGAA